AGGAUGAACGCUGGCGGCGUGCUUAACACAUGCAAGUCGAACGGUGAAGUGAGGAGCUUGCUCCUUGCGGAUCAGUGGCGAACGGGUGAGUAACACGUGAGUAACCUGCCCUUGACUCUGGGAUAAGCGUUGGAAACGACGUCUAAUACCGGAUAUUACACCGGCUGGCAUCGGCUGGUGUGGAAAGAUUUAUCGGCUAAGGAUGGACUCGCGGCCUAUCAGCUUGUUGGUGGGGUAGAAGCCUACCAAGGCGACGACGGGUA
rnacentral:rRNA from 1 species